rnacentral:rRNA from 1 species
UACGGAGGGUGCAAGCGUUAUCCGGAUUCACUGGGCGUAAAGGGUGCGUAGGUGGCAGGGUAAGUUUGAUGUGAAAUCUCCGGGCUUAACCCGGAAACUGCAUUGAAUACUAUUCCGCUCGAGAGUUGGAGGGGAGACUGGAAUACUUGGUGUAGCAGUGAAAUGCGUAGAUAUCAAGAGGAACACCUGCGGCGAAGGCGGGUUGCUGGGCUGACACUGACGCUGAGGCGCGAAAGCUAGGGGAGCGAACGGG